rnacentral:lncRNA from 1 species
AUAUAUGUCAUCUAUAAAAGAAAUAGAAAAAGAAAAAAAAAAGAAAAAAAAAAGAAAAUAUAUGAAUAAGAUGACUGGAAGUGGGUGUUUGGUUGUUUUAGUUUUCUGACAAAAGAGAGUAUAAUGAUAAAACCGUAAAAAUGAUGUGAUUGCUCUCUUUGCUCCUUCACAUUACCUUGAUACACCAAUUUCCUUCUUUGCCUUGUC